rnacentral:rRNA from 1 species
CGUGUAGGCGGCUCGACAAGUGGUGUGUGAAAUCCUCUGGCUCAACCAGAGAAUUGCGCUCCAAACUGUCGAGCUUGAGAGUAGUAGAGGUAACUGGAAUUCCUGGUGUAGCGGUGAAAUGCGUAGAUAUCAGGAGGAACACCAUUGGCGAAGGCGAGUUACUGGGCUGCUUCUGACGCUGAGGCGCGAAAGCUGGGGGAGCGAACA